AGCGUACACGGUGGAUGCCCUGGCAGUCAGAGGCGAUGAAGGGCGUGCUAAUCUGCGAUAAGCGCCGGUAAGGUGAUAUGAACCGUUAUAACCGGCGAUACCCGAAUGGGGAAACCCAGUGUGACUCGUCACACUAUCAUUAACUGAAUCCAUAGGUUAAUGAGGCGAACCGGGGGAACUGAAACAUCUAAGUACCCCGAGGAAAAGAAAUCAACCGAGAUUCCCCCAGUAGCGGCGAGCGAACGGGGAGGAGCCCAGAGCCUGAAUCAGCAUGUGUGUUAGUGGAAGCGUCUGGAAAGGCGCGCGAUACAGGGUGACAGCCCCGUACACAAAAGCGCAUGUGCUGUGAGCUCGAUGAGUAGGGCGGGACACGUGGUAUCCUGUCUGAAUAUGGGGGGACCAUCCUCCAAGGCUAAAUACUCCUGACCGACCGAUAGUGAACCAGUACCGUGAGGGAAAGGCGAAAAGAACCCCGGCGAGGGGAGUGAAAAAGAACCUGAAACCGUGUACGUACAAGCAGUGGGAGCACAGGUUUACCUGUGUGACUGCGUACCUUUUGUAUAAUGGGUCAGCGACUUAUAUUCUGUAGCAAGGUUAACCGUAUAGGGGAGCCGUAGGGAAACCGAGUCUUAACCGGGCGUUAAGUUGCAGGGUAUAGACCCGAAACCCGGUGAUCUAGCCAUGGGCAGGUUGAAGGUUGGGUAACACUAACUGGAGGACCGAACCGACUAAUGUUGAAAAAUUAGCGGAUGACCUGUGGCUGGGGGUGAAAGGCCAAUCAAACCGGGAGAUAGCUGGUUCUCCCCGAAAGCUAUUUAGGUAGCGCCUCGUGAAUUCAUCUCCGGGGGUAGAGCACUGUUUCGGCUAGGGGGCCAUCCCGGCUUACCAACCCGAUGCAAACUGCGAAUACCGGAGAAUGUUAUCACGGGAGACACACGGCGGGUGCUAACGUCCGUCGUGAAGAGGGAAACAACCCAGACCGCCAGCUAAGGUCCCAAAGUCAUGGUUAAGUGGGAAACGAUGUGGGAAGGCCCAGACAGCCAGGAUGUUGGCUUAGAAGCAGCCAUCAUUUAAAGAAAGCGUAAUAGCUCACUGGUCGAGUCGGCCUGCGCGGAAGAUGUAACGGGGCUAAACCAUGCACCGAAGCUGCGGCAGCGACGCUGAUGCGUUGUUGGGUAGGGGAGCGUUCUGUAAGCCUGUGAAGGUGGCCUGUGAGGGUUGCUGGAGGUAUCAGAAGUGCGAAUGCUGACAUAAGUAACGAUAAAGCGGGUGAAAAGCCCGCUCGCCGGAAGACCAAGGGUUCCUGUCCAACGUUAAUCGGGGCAGGGUGAGUCGACCCCUAAGGCGAGGCCGAAAGGCGUAGUCGAUGGGAAACGGGUUAAUAUUCCCGUACUUGGUGUUACUGCGAAGGGGGGACGGAGAAGGCUAUGUUGGCCGGGCGACGGUUGUCCCGGUUUAAGCGUGUAGGUGUGUGUUCCAGGUAAAUCCGGUUCACUUUAACACUGAGGCGUGAUGACGAGGCACUACGGUGCUGAAGCAACAAAUGCCCUGCUUCCAGGAAAAGCCUCUAAGCAUCAGGUAACAUCAAAUCGUACCCCAAACCGACACAGGUGGUCAGGUAGAGAAUACCAAGGCGCUUGAGAGAACUCGGGUGAAGGAACUAGGCAAAAUGGUGCCGUAACUUCGGGAGAAGGCACGCUGACACGUAGGUGAAGUGAUUUACUCAUGGAGCUGAAGUCAGUCGAAGAUACCAGCUGGCUGCAACUGUUUAUUAAAAACACAGCACUGUGCAAACACGAAAGUGGACGUAUACGGUGUGACGCCUGCCCGGUGCCGGAAGGUUAAUUGAUGGGGUCAGCGCAAGCGAAGCUCCUGAUCGAAGCCCCGGUAAACGGCGGCCGUAACUAUAACGGUCCUAAGGUAGCGAAAUUCCUUGUCGGGUAAGUUCCGACCUGCACGAAUGGCGUAAUGAUGGCCAGGCUGUCUCCACCCGAGACUCAGUGAAAUUGAACUCGCUGUGAAGAUGCAGUGUACCCGCGGCAAGACGGAAAGACCCCGUGAACCUUUACUAUAGCUUGACACUGAACAUUGAGCCUUGAUGUGUAGGAUAGGUGGGAGGCUUUGAAGCGUGGACGCCAGUCUGCAUGGAGCCGGCCUUGAAAUACCACCCUUUAAUGUUUGAUGUUCUAACGUGGACCCGUGAUCCGGGUUGCGGACAGUGUCUGGUGGGUAGUUUGACUGGGGCGGUCUCCUCCUAAAGAGUAACGGAGGAGCACGAAGGUUGGCUAAUCCUGGUCG
rnacentral:rRNA from 1 species